GUGGGUAUAGCUCAGUGGUAGAGUGCAUGCUUAGCAUGCACGAGAUCCUGGGUUCAAUCCUCAAUACCUCCA
rnacentral:tRNA from 1 species